GAGGAGGAGGAGGAGGAGGAGGAGGAGGAGGAGGAGGAGGAUGAAGAACGAGGAGCAGGAAGACAAGGAGCAGGAGGAGGAUGAGGAGGUGAAAAAGGAGGAGGAGGAAAAGGAAGGCUCCAGGAGAUUACAAGACAAGCACACAAGAUUAUGAGAUGAAAGAAAAGGAGGGAGACGAGGAGGAAGAAGAAGAAUAAGAGGAGGAGGAGGAGGAGGAGGAGGAGGAGGAGAAGAGGUGCUCUAUGAAGACCAAACAGCAUUUCACAGCUCUUCCUGACUACCCAAAGCACAUCAAACUGGACAAGCACAGUUUUGAAGAAGAGGAGGAGGAAGAGGAAGAGGAAGGAGGAGGAGGAGGAGGAGGAGGAGGACGAGGGUUAGGUGUGGCCCCUCCCUCCCCCUCCCACACCACUGCAGUCCCAGCCUCUGAUUGGCCAGCCCUCAGCCAAUCAGGAGAGAGACUUUAUGGCCUUGCAGGUGGAGGAAGGCCGAAGGGAACUGGAGGAGGAGAGAAAGAGGCACAGGCUGGAGGUUGAAAACAAAAGGUCUAGAUUUAGAAUGAUGACAACGACCACAGCCACCACCAGCACCUCCCCCACUAGUCUGCCUUUCUCUUCAAGUCCCAGCGAGGAGCACCCGCCCUCCUCCCCAGCCUCCUCUCUCAACAGAUGGGAGGGCCUGGACAGACUGAGAGAGGAACUGAUGAAAGAGAGAGAGAUAGAGAUUGAAGAGAGAAUUGCAAGUGUAAGAGAGGAAGAAAGGAGGAAAUUAGAUGACGAAAAUCAGUAUUACGAAUUGUUCAGGUGGUCGAAUGUUCCAGCUAUCGGUUUACUCCAGCCACCCUCACUGAGCAGAUAUGAAAACAAGAGCCGCUGAGAGGUUUGAACUAUUCGUCUGCUGCUUUUAGUGUUUGCGGUGCUGUUCCAAGUUGUUCUCUUCGCUUAUUCCAAGGCCAUCAGUCGUGGCAAGAACCAGUAAAAUCAUACAACUUCAGGCAUUUAAGUACUUCAACAACUCGAUUACUCUUUUUACUGGCAGUGGUAGUGUUCCAGAGAGAGAGAGAGAGAGAGAGAGAGAGAGAGAGAGAGAGAGAAUUAUUAUUAUUAUU